ACGAACGCUGGCGGCAGGCUUAACACAUGCAAGUCGAGCGAGAUCUUCGGGUCUAGCGGCGGACGGGUGAGUAACGCGUGGGAACGUGCCCUUCUCUACGGAAUAGCCCCGGGAAACUGGGAGUAAUACCGUAUACGCCCUUUGGGGGAAAGAUUUAUCGGAGAAGGAUCGGCCCGCGUUGGAUUAGGUAGUUGGUGGGGUAAUGGCCCACCAAGCCGACGAUCCAUAGCUGGUUUGAGAGGAUGAUCAGCCACACUGGGACUGAGACACGGCCCAGACUCCUACGGGAGGCAGCAGUGGGGAAUCUUAGACAAUGGGGGCAACCCUGAUCUAGCCAUGCCGCGUGAGUGAUGAAGGCCUUAGGGUUGUAAAGCUCUUUCAGCUGGGAAGAUAAUGACGGUACCAGCAGAAGAAGCCCCGGCUAACUCCGU
rnacentral:rRNA from 1 species